rnacentral:rRNA from 1 species
GGCCAGACUCCUACGGGAGGCAGCAGUGGGGGAUAUUGCACAAUGGGGGGAACCCUGAUGCAGCGACGCCGCGUGGGUGAAGGAGCGUUUCGGCGCGUAAAGCCCUAUCGGCAGGGAAGAAGGAGGACGGUACCUGACUAAGAAGCCCCGGCUAACUACGUGCUAGCAGCCGCGGGAAUACGUAGGGGGCAAGCGUUAUCCGGAUUCACUGGGUGUAAAGGGAGCGUAGACGGCGACGCAAGUCUGGAGUGAAAGCCCGGGGCCCAACCCCGGGACUGCUCUGGAAACUGCGGCGCUGGAGUACGGGAGGGGCAGGCGGAAUUCCUGGUGUAGCGGUGAAAUGCGUAGAUAUCAGGAGGAACACCGGCGGCGAAGGCGGCCUGCUGGACCGUGACUGACGUUGAGGCUCGAGAGCGUGGGGAGCAAACAGGAUUAGAUACCCCUGUA